AUACUGUUUGGCGUCUGUUUCUCUCCCCCUCCCCGCAUGUCAGAUAGUGCCUCUUCAAGACCCUGGAGUAACUUAGGACCUGCUGGGCGAGUCAAAGACCUUCAAAGGAAUUUAGAACAGCACCUGCUUCCUGAGUUGGCUCCAGGGAGGGUUUGUGCGCUGAGGGGAAGGCACAUUUCAGUGCUGUGGACAGACUGCUGGCACAGAGGUACAGGGCUGAGUCUCCUGCCUCAGAGGACGGGAUUUCCAGGCUGCAGGGAUUGCACCUCAUCUUUUUUUUGUCCUGUCCCUUUGACCAGAUGGCUUGCAGUCUGAGUAAUGUCAGCAUCAAAUGAACCCGGAAAGGAGGACACAGAAGUGUUGAAUACAGGAGGGAUGCUGACAAAAAGGGGUUGAUUCUAGGAUUGCCAUCUCAAGACAAGGAUGGUCCUUCUGUGUUCAGGACCUACCUACCUGCUUCAAGGAGAUGAAGUGCUACAUAGUAAAGGAGCCUAAAAUCCAUGGCACCUUAUAGUUAGGAAAAUGAGCAUCACCUGCUCCCUGCGUGGGCUCCAGAUAGGGUUUGUGUGCUAAGGAGAAUGCAAUUUCAUCUAUCUGGACUGGAUGCUAGCACAGAAUACAGUGCAGAGUCUCUUGCUUCUGAGGACUGUGUUUGCAAGCUGGAGGGUCACUUGGAAUCUGCAUAACUUUGACAUCAAAAUAACCUAGGAGAGAAGAAAACAGAAGAUGGAAUGCAGACCAAAAAGAAUAUUGGCAAAAAUAGUCUUGGAUGUGUAGUUAGCAAUCUCAGGAUAAGAACUGUCCUUUUAUCC